UACAGAGGUCUCAAGCGUUGUUCGGAUUCAUUGGGCGUAAAGGGUGCGUAGGCGGCGCGGUAAGUCGGGUGUGAAAUCUCGGAGCUUAACUCCGAAACUGCAUUCGAUACUGCCGUGCUUGAGGACUGGAGAGGAGACUGGAAUUUACGGUGUAGCGGUGAAAUGCGUAGAUAUCGUAAGGAAGACCAGUGGCGAAGGCGACUACCUGGCCUGUUCUUGACGCUGAGGCGCGAAAGCUAGGGGAGCAAACGGG
rnacentral:rRNA from 1 species